rnacentral:rRNA from 1 species
GAUGAACGCUAGCUACAGGCUUAACACAUGCAAGUCGAGGGGCAGCACAGUGUAGCAAUACAUGGGUGGCGACCGGCGCACGGGUGCGUAACGCGUAUCCAACCUUCCCGUUACUCAGGGAUAGCCUUCCGAAAGGGAGAUUAAUACCUGAUGGUAUUCAAAUUCCGCAUGUUAUCUGAAUUAAAGAUUUAUCGGUAACGGAUGGGGAUGCGUGACAUUAGGUAGAUGGCGGGGUAACGGCCCACCAUGCCUACGAUGUCUAGGGGUUCUGAGCGGAAGGUCCCCCACACUGGAACUGAGACACGGUCCAGACUCCUACGGGAGGCAGCAGUGAGGAAUAUUGGUCAAUGGUCGGAAGACUGAACCAGCCAAGUAGCGUGAAGGAUGAAGGUUCUAUGGAUUGUAAACUUCUUUUAUACGGGAAUAAAACCACCUACGUGUAGGUGCUUGUAUGUACCGUAUGAAUAAGCACCGGCUAACUACGUGCCAGCCGCCGCCGUAAGAC